rnacentral:pre_miRNA from 1 species
AAUAAGUUUAUUUUUCAGGUUUUAGAUACAAUAUUUUGACUCUUCGUCUUAUUUGAUUUUUUUGCGAUUAAUAUUUUUAUUACGACUAGAUGAUAAAAUAUGAAUAAUACUUCGUACGAGACUAAUUUUUUUUGGUUUUUGUACAAAAUUUUCAAAUAAAAUAAAUAGUCAAACGUUGGGACACAUAAAUC